GGGGGCAACAAACAAAAAAAAUACUCAGACGAUGAAGAAAUGAGGCAAUGGAGGGAAGGAAUGUUUCUCAAGGGUGGUUGAUCCCUCUCCGUUGCCUAUGAUUUUCGAUUCUGCCCCCUCUUUUCAACCGCCCUUCUGCCUGAUUUUAAUGACUUAUUAUAAGUUGUUUUGAAAAGCUAAGCCAAACAUCCCUAUAUCUAUACAUAUACAAUACAAUACACACAUAUAUACAUACACACAUCAAAGGAUAUGUAGCCUAGCGAUUUCUGUACCUGUACAGAAAAACGUUCUCCAUAGGGACCAUUUUGGCAUUUAACUCUUUAUUACGGGCAAUGAUGAUGCCUUUCUAUUCGUCUGAGUGAAUCGGUACUUGAGAUAUUCCGAAUCUUGGCGGGGCAAUUUUCCGACGGUCGAUACGGUUGUGAUUAUUGCAGCCAUGGAGGUCUUAUCCUGUACCGGUUGUUUUAUACAGAUCUGAGCCCUAUUAUCUCUUUAACGAUUGACUUUUACAUUUAUCCAUCUUUUUUGAUUAUUCACGGAUCUGGUUUUUUAUGUCCUGUAGGUUUUAAUUUAUCUUUUCAUUAUAUUAGUGUUUUUUUGCUUGCUAUUCGUAAUUCAACUGUCUAGGGAAUUACUUAAAAUUUGAUUAGGAUUAUAUGAUAUUGGUUUUACUCAACGUUUUUACCUAAACAUGUGUAAAUCGAAUCUUAAAUCAACAUUUGUAGAUAGCAACCACCAUGAUAUUGUUUAUUACUGGUUUUAUCUAAAGUUUUUACCCAAACAAGUGUAGAUCAAAUCUCAAAUAAAAGGGUGAUGCUUUUGCUUGGUGAAGAUGUAUGAAUUUGAAGAGUUUUUGACACUGUUGUGAUCAUUUUUGGGCUACCCAGCUUUAUCAGAGUUUGCAGUCAUGGCAGUCUAUCCUCUAUCUCAUAGAACACGUACUUAAUUGAUCAAAAAGCAUAACCGGCAGUUGAUCCAAAAUUUGUAGCUCGAAUAAUGAAGCCAUUUCUGCAAUAUGUCACUCUUGUUUAUAGUGUUGGGAGUGUCCUGAUGUUUAAGGUAAUAAUGUAUGUGUUAUAACCAUUCUUUGGGAGGAUGCGGCUGCUUGCUGGCUGAAGUGUGUGCCUGUGACAUAAGUGUCUAUGGACGCAUUGCUUAGUCUUAGGUUUCAAUAUGAUCUCUAUGUUUCGAGACAUAAGUGUCUAUUGUGGGCAACCUAAUCAUUCUUUGGUGGCAACUAGCAUGAUUCCAGGA